UGGGGAAUUUUGGACAAUGGGCGAAAGCCUGAUCCAGCAAUGCCGCGUGUGUGAAGAAGGCCUUCGGGUUGUAAAGCACUUUUGUCCGGAAAGAAAUCCUUGGCUCUAAUACAGUCGGGGGAUGACGGUACCGGAAGAAUAAGCACCGGCUAACUACGUGCCAGCAGCCGCGGUAAUACGUAGGGUGCAAGCGUUAAUCGGAAUUACUGGGCGUAAAGCGUGCGCAGGCGGUUUGCUAAGACCGAUGUGAAAUCCCCGGGCUCAACCUGGGAACUGCAUUGGUGACUGGCAGGCUAGAGUAUGGCAGAGGGGGGUAGAAUUCCACGUGUAGCAGUGAAAUGCGUAGAGAUGUGGAGGAAUACCGAUGGCGAAGGCAGCCCCCUGGGCCAAUACUGACGCUCAUGCACGAAAGCGUGGGGAGCAAACAGGAUUAGAUACCCUGGUAGUCCACGCCCUAAGCGAUGUCAACUAGUUGUUGGGGAUUCAUUUCCUUAGUAACGUAGCUAACGCGUGAAGUUGACCGCCU
rnacentral:rRNA from 1 species